rnacentral:rRNA from 1 species
UACGUAGGGCGCAAGCGUUGUCCGGAAUUAUUGGGCGUAAAGAGCUCGUAGGCGGUCUGUCGCGUCUGCUGUGAAAACGCGGGGCUCAACCCCGCGCCUGCAGUGGGUACGGGCAGACUAGAGUACUGCAGGGGAGACUGGAAUUCCUGGUGUAGCGGUGGAAUGCGCAGAUAUCAGGAGGAACACCAAUGGCGAAGGCAGAUCUCUGGGCCGUAACUGACGCUGGAGGAGCGGAAAGCAUGGGGAGCGAACAGG